GGUUCUCUUUCUCAACUUUUUUUUUUUCAUUGUAAUAAGAAUCAGAGAAAUAAGUAAAGAGAGAAAGAACAGAUGGGUUAGAUGGCUCCGUUCUGCCGCCGCCGCUCGUCGUCCUCUGCCGCUGCCGCUCAUCUUCCUCCCAACACAGCCCAGAUGAAUCAGAGAAAUAAGUAAAGAGAGAAAGAACAGAUGGGUUAGAUGGCUCCGUUCUGCCGCCGCCGCUCGUCGUCCUCUGCCGCUGCCGCUCAUCUUCCUCCCAACACAGCCCAGAUGAUAAAUUUCUUGGUUAAGAUUUUUGCCUUGCAGAUUGUGUUGGGACCUCAACUAUAAGAUCUCUUUAAAGUUUCAGGUUUAUUGUUUCAAAUUAAAAACAAGGUUGGAGAUGUGUUCUAGUCUGGCAAUACUGAUGCGGCAGUAAGGAUGAAUGGAGGACUGCAGCGAAAAGCGAGAAGAGAGAGAGACAAAGGGAGCAUAGACUAUGGAGGAACCACAACUAAAGCAUAUGCUUUGAUAUUUUAUGACAACGCAAUAAUAAAAUAGUUGUGCUCAAGUCUAUUAGUAGUGUUGGGGUUGUCAUCCACAGCUUCACUGGUUGAUCUACAACACUAUAUGUUCUUUUUUCUUUUUCUUUUUUUCUACUGGGGGUUAUUAACUUUGA